GAUGAACGCUGGCGGCGUGCCUAAUACAUGCAAGUCGAACGCUUCACAUAUGUGAAGAGUGGCGAACGGGUGAGUAAUACAUAAGUAACCUGGCCUUUACAGGGGGAUAACUAUUGGAAACGAUAGCUAAGACCGCAUAGGUGUCAUAACCGCAUGGAGAUGACAUGAAAUAUGCUACGGCAUAGGUAGAGGAUGGACUUAUGGCGCAUUAGCUAGUUGGAGGGGUAACGGCCCACCAAGGCGACGAUGCGUAGCCGACCUGAGAGGGUGACCGGCCACACUGGGACUGAGACACGGCCCAGACUCCUACGGGAGGCAGCAGUAGGGAAUUUUCGGCAAUGGGGGAAACCCUGACCGAGCAACGCCGCGUGAAGGAAGAAGUAAUUCGUUAUGUAAACUCCUGUCAUAGAGGAAGAACGGUGCGUGUAGGGAAUGACAUGCAAGUGACGGUACUCUAUAAGAAAGCCACGGCUAACUACGUGCCAGCCGCCGCGGUAA
rnacentral:rRNA from 1 species